AUUUAUUGUGUUAAUUGAAUAAAUUCUUGAGAAUUAAAAGAAUAAAAAGAAGAAUUUUUUUGUGUGUAAAAUUUGGUGUAAAUGGAUUGGAGAUGAAAUAGUAAUUUGGUGUGAAAAAGGUACAUUUUUUGUGUUGGUGUUACACCAAAAUGGUGUUAAGCAUUUAAGAUGCCCUAACAUGCCAAUAAUUGGGGGGCUGCUUCUACAAAGGCAGCUGGACCACCCUAUUGAAAGGCGACAUGUGCACGCGUGGAUAAAUUGCAUGAAUAAAGGAUCAGCUUAUUCUCUAGACUAUGCUCCAAAGGACCAAAGACAACCACAUGCAUAAAUGUAAGGACGAGAAUAUCCUUGCCCGGGCGGCAAGAGUGCCAAUG
rnacentral:lncRNA from 1 species